AACGAACGCUGGCGGCGCGCUUAAUACAUGCAAGUCGAACGAGAAGGUGUAGCAAUACACUUGUAAAGUGGCGAACGGGUGAGGAAUACAUGGGUAACCUACCCUCGAGUGGGGAACAACCAGCCGAAAGGUUGGCUAAUACCGCGUACGCUUCCGGGUCUUCGGAUUCGGAAGGAAAGUCAUACCGUGGGUAUGACGCUCAAGGAUGGGCUCACGUCCUAUCAGCUUGUUGGUAGGGGUAACGGCCACCAAGGCUCCGACGGUAGCUGGUCUGAGAGGACGAUCAGCCACACUGGCACUGCGACACGGGCCAGACUCCUACGGGAGGCAGCAGUGAGGAAUAUUGCGCAAUGGGCGAAAGCCUGACGCAGCGACGCCGC
rnacentral:rRNA from 1 species